AUGGACCACCAACUGUCCAGAUUUUGUCAGUAUCUCCAUUUGAAUAAAAAAGGGAAAUACAUAAAUCCUGGACAGUUGGUGGUCCAUGAGGACU
rnacentral:miRNA from 1 species